rnacentral:rRNA from 1 species
CAGUAGCCGCGGGAAUACGUAGGGUGCGAGCGUUAAUCGGAAUUACUGGGCGUAAAGCGCACGCAGGCGGUCUGUCAAGUCAGAUGUGAAAUCCCCGGGCUUAACCUGGGAACUGCAUUUGAAACUGGCAGGCUAGAGUCUUGUAGAGGGGGGUAGAAUUCCAGGUGUAGCGGUGAAAUGCGUAGAGAUCUGGAGGAAUACCGGUGGCGAAGGCGGCCCCCUGGACAAAGACUGACGCUCAGGUGCGAAAGCGUGGGGAGCAAACAGGAUUAGAUACCCGCGUAGUCCCUGUCUCUUAUAC